rnacentral:misc_RNA from 1 species
CCUAUCAUCCAGUGUGGUCGCGGCCUCCGGGUUCUUCCCGGGCGGUAGAGGUAACACUCUCACGCGCCACGCGUUUGAAUCCUUUUUUUUACGAGCACCUUUCGUUCUCCUUCGGUGGGGCAACCUGCCGUUGGAAUCAUAAAAACCUUUUUUUGCAUCUAGCAUUACCUGUUCCGAUAACAAACAAUCGUUA